CAAGGUUUCCGUAGGUGAACCUGGGGAGGGAUCAUUG
rnacentral:rRNA from 1 species